UCUAUUCCCCACUCUCCCCAG
rnacentral:miRNA from 1 species